UACGUAGGGUGCAAGCGUUGUCCGGAAUUAUUGGGCGUAAAGAGCUCGUAGGCGGUCUGUCGCGUCGGCUGUGAAAACUCGGGGCUCAACCCCGAGCCUGCAGUCGAUACGGGCAGACUAGAGUGCGGUAGGGGAGACUGGAAUUCCUGGUGUAGCGGUGAAAUGCGCAGAUAUCAGGAGGAACACCGGCGGCGAAGGCGGGUCUCUGGGCCGUAACUGACGCUGAGGAGCGAAAGCGUGGGGAGCGAACAGG
rnacentral:rRNA from 1 species